AGUGGACGCUGGCGGUAGGCCUAACACAUGCAAGUCGAACGGCAGCACAGUAAGAGCUUGCUCUUACGGGUGGCGAGUGGCGGACGGGUGAGGAAUACAUCGGAAUCUACUUUUUCGUGGGGGAUAACGUAGGGAAACUUACGCUAAUACCGCAUACGACCUACGGGUGAAAGCAGGGGAUCUUCGGACCUUGCGCGAUUGAAUGAGCCGAUGUCGGAUUAGCUAGUUGGCGGGGUAAAGGCCCACCAAGGCGACGAUCCGUAGCUGGUCUGAGAGGAUGAUCAGCCACACUGGAACUGAGACACGGUCCAGACUCCUACGGGAGGCAGCAGUGGGGAAUAUUGACAAUGGGCGCAAGCCUGAUCCAGCCAUACCGCGUGGGUGAAGAAGGCCUUCGGGUUGUAAAGCCCUUUUGUUGGGAAAGAAAAGCAGCAGGUUAAUACCCCGCUGUUCUGACGGUACCCAAAGAAUAAGCACCGGCUAACUUCGUG
rnacentral:rRNA from 1 species